rnacentral:rRNA from 1 species
CAGCCCUAAACGAUGCGCGUUAGGUGUAUCGGUGACCACGAGUCACCGAGGUGCCGAAGGGAAACCGUGAAACGUGCCGCCUGGGAAGUACGGUCGCAAGGCUGAAACUUAAAGGAAUUGGCGGGGGAGCACCACAACGGGUGGAGCCUGUGGUUUAAUUGGACUCAACGCCGGGAAGCUCACCGGAUAAGACAGCGGAAUGAUUGCCGGGCUGAAGACCCUGCAUGACCAGCUGAGAGGAGGUGCAUGGCG